rnacentral:misc_RNA from 1 species
AAAGGAUAUACCUUCUUCUUAGCGCCA